rnacentral:rRNA from 1 species
UACGUAGGGUGCAAGCGUUGUCCGGAAUUAUUGGGCGUAAAGAGCUUGUAGGCGGUUUGUCGCGUCUGCUGUGAAAUUUCGGGGCUCAACCCCGAACUUGCAGUGGGUACGGGCAGACUAGAGUGUGGUAGGGGAGACUGGAAUUCCUGGUGUAGCGGUGAAAUGCGCAGAUAUCGGGAGGAACACCGAUGGCGAAGGCAGGUCUCUGGGCCAUAACUGACGCUGAGACGCGAAAGCGUGGGGAGCGAACAGG